AACAUGGUUAAUGUUCUGAACACGGCGGCAAUAAUGGCCACGCGAAAGUUCCUCUCUCUCGUCGUCCUCCUCGUCAUCGACUUCUGGAUGUUGUAAUGUUCGAGCAUGAUACAGUUCUGAUUCCUCGGGAGACAUCUUGGUUUGGAUAUUAUCCAGAUGGUGCCUUUAACCCAAUUUUGCCUCCACAACAGACUACCCUCUACACUGAAGACUGGAUUGGUCUAAAAACUUUGGAUGAUGCUGGGCGAGUCAAAUUUAUCAGUGUCAAAGGAAAUCAUCUCAGAAUCUCCCAAAGUGACAUGAAAAAGCAUAUCGUGCCAUACUUGGAGGAGAAACCAGAAAAGUUGAUAAAAAAAUGUCCCAUGUCAGAAUGGGUUUCAUCAGCUUGGAAUAUCCCGAUGAUGGACAGAAUGGAUCCGAUGGAGGAGUCUCCUCUGCUGUGGUCCAUCAAGGGUGCUGACAUGUAAAUUGUUUGAUCCGAAUUCCCUACUUAGAAUUGAACUAAGAGAUGUUUAAUACU